rnacentral:tRNA from 1 species
GCCUUCGUGGUGUAGUGGUCAGUACGCUCGACGCAUAUUCGAGAGGUCCGUGGUUCAAGUCCCGACGACAGCA